AUGGAAGAGAAAAUGAGGUUGGCUCUAGAGAAGAAGGACUUGGACCUUGCAUCUGCGCAGAAGGAAGCUCAAGAUAAGACUGCCCUUGCAGACCAGAAGCUGGCUUCGGUAGGAGUGUUGGAAGGAGAAGUAAACAAGCUGAAGUCCUCUCUCAAUGAGUCCAACCGAGAGGUAACUCGUCUGAAGAAGGAUGAGAUUGCUCUGAAUGAGAAGCUAGAGUCCGCAGUCCGUAAGAGAAAUGACACGGAAGCCUAUCUGAGAACUCUUACCAAGAAGCUCUAUCUUAUGCUGGAAGAAUUCUGCCAAAACUUUGACGAGGAAACUGGACGGAUCAAGACGGGUUUAGACCCUAUCGUUUCUCUGGUCGGCGACGAGGCUGCCAUGAAUGUGCUUCGACUGGAAUCCCGUGUUGCUAGCGUCACAAGUUACCUCGCUCGUCUGAAGGUGGCAGUUUCACGGAUCGACUCAUCACUCCGGCCAAGGGUGACGCUUCAAAAUGACCUCAAAUCUCUGAUGACUCGGCUCAACGAGAUUCCUGGUUGA
rnacentral:rRNA from 1 species